GUGCUUGCUUCGGCAGCACAUAUACUAAAAUUGGAAUGAUGUAAAGAAGAUUAGCAUGGCCUUUGUGCAAGGAUGACACACAAAUUCAAGAAGCAUUCCAUUUUUUA
ensembl:snRNA U6 U6 spliceosomal RNA